GACGAACGCUGGCGGCGUGCCUUGUACAUGCAAGUCGAACGCUGAAAGAGGAGCUUGCGCUUCUGGAUGAGUUGCGGACGGACGAGUGACGCGUAUGUCACCUGCCUGGUAGCGGGGGAUAACUAUUGGACACGAUAGCUAAUACCGCCUAAUAUUCUCUGAUGAAUGACGACUGUUUGAUAGGGGCCUUUGCAUCUCUACCAGAUGGACCUGCGAUGAAUUAGCUAGUGGGGGGGGGGACGGCUCACCAAAGCAACGAUACCUAGCCUAACUGAAAGGGCGAUCGGCCUGGCUGUGACUGACACACCGCACUCACUCCUACGGGAGGCAGGAGUAAGUAAUCUUCGGGAAUGGACGGAUGACUGACCCAUGACCGCCGCGUGAGUGAAGACUGCUUUCUGAUCAGGACUCUCUGCUGGAAAAAAAAAGCUAGUGCGAGAGUGGACAGCUCACGCUGUGACGGGAUCUUACCACAACGGGACGGUUCACUACGUGCCACCCGCCGCGACAAUACGUGCGACCCGAGCGCUGACCGGAUGUAUUGGGCGCAAAGCGAGAGCAUGCCGUUAGAUAAAUCUGAAGUCAACGGCUGUGGCUUGACCAUAGCACGCUUGUGAAACUGUUUGACUAGAGUGCAUCAGAGGAGAGUGGAAUUCCAUGUGUAGCGGUGAAAUGCGUAGAUAUAUGGAGGAACACCGAUGGCGAAAGCGGCUUUCUGGGAUGUCACUGACGCUGAGGCUCGAAAGCGUGGGGAGCAAACAGGAUUAGAUACCCUGGUAGUCCACGCCGUAAACGAUGACUGCUAGGUGUUAGGCCCUUUCCGGGGUUAAGAGCGGUAGCUAACGCAUUAAGCACUCCGCCUGGGGAGUACGACCGCAAGGUUGAAACUCAAAGGAAUUGACGGGGGCCCGCACAAGCGGUGGAUGAUGUGGAUUAAUUCGAAGCAACGCGAAGAACCUUACCAGGUCUUGACAUCCCUCUGACCGCUCUAAAAAUAAAGAUUUCCUUCGGGACAGAGGCGCCAGGUGGUGCAUGGUUGUCGUCAGCUCGUGUCGUGAGAUGUUGGGUUAAGUCCCGCAACGAGCGCAACCCCUAUUGUUAGUUGCCAUCAUUCAGUUGGGCACUCUAACGAGACUGCCGGUAAUAAACCGGAGGAAGGUGGGGAUGACGUCAAAUCAUCAUGCCCCUAUGACCUGGGCUACACACGUCAUACAAUGGUUGGUACAGAGAGUAGCCAACCGGCGACGGCAAGCCAAUCUCUCAAAGCCAGUCUCAGUUCGGAUUGCAGUCUGCAACUCGCGUACAUGAAGUCGGAAUCGCUAGUAAUCGCGGAUCAGCACGCCGCGGUGAAUACGUUCCCGGGCCU
rnacentral:rRNA from 1 species